CGACUGAAUUACAAGACUGACACUGAAAACUGCGCUCACAUAUACAGACACUUAACAAGAAAGAAAACAGUACAAAACUCCACGUCGAACAGAGCGUACACGUCCGCUCAAUUUGCCCUGAAGACGGUUGACGCAGAUCAACCGAAAUAUAUUGGACGAAAUCGAAAUAAAAGCUUUUUAUUUAUUUUGG